rnacentral:misc_RNA from 1 species
UCUGUGUGUAUGUGUCGCGUGUGGAGGUGUAAGUAUGCAAAUACGCUUGUGUGUGUGUGUACGGGUACGUUGCCUUUUUUCUUCCUUCGUUGAUUCGCUUCUUCCUUCUGUGGUGCGCACACCACCGUUGGCGCGGUGCUUGCGUGCUGUGUGUUGGCCUUAUUUUCAGUUUAACGAUGGUGUCGUUGAUGCUCUUUCCGGCCACCGCUUCGGCCCCGUCUUUUCCUCUCCUCUUCUUGUACCUAUUCGAUGCGAAGACUUUGUGUGUGUGCGUGCGCGUGUGUGUGCGACAUUGAGACUCGCCGUCGUGCUUCCCACGCGCUUCACGUUUUUCAGUGGUGGCCCGUGCAGCUCCAUGUCGUGCUGCACGCAAGGCUUUAUCUAUACAAAACGAUGUUCGAGACACCUGAGAAGGUGGGGGAGGGGGUCAGCAGGAGCUACGCAAGCGACAUGCGCAGACAUGCGAGCCAACAACGAAUGUUCACUAAAAGACGAAGGAGGAGGAGGAGGCGCGACGCAUCAUGCGACGUGCUCACCUAUCAAAAGGGAACCACGGCUGCCGCCUCUCUUGCCACACCCCUGAACCACACGCGCUCAUAUACACAGCGCAUUCCAUUGGCGAUGACAACACGGCACGCGAUGCAACAGCUGAGGGGGGGGGGUCGGCGGCACGAGAGGACAGAGAGAGGGGUAAAAAAAAAAGGAUGAAUCAACGACGGCAGUGACGGAUGACUUCUGAAGAGGGAACGGCUGCUCCUCCCUCUUCCCCUCUUCUCUCACCCCUUUGGUGAUCUGAACCCGCUGUCUCCACACUGAAGCUUCCCGCCCUUUUCUUCCUUCCACCGAUGUGCGUUGUAGUUCCGUCUUCUGUUCUUCUGAACAUCCUCUUAUCAGCUCCAGUGCUCUCUAGUCUCCCAACCCCCUUGACUUUCCCCCGACCCUACCCCCUCCACACAUACACACACACAG